rnacentral:lncRNA from 1 species
GAGGCUUGGAGUGGCAGUCAAAUAAGGAAGCUUAGAUGGUGAGUAUGGUUUGUGUUGGUAGUAAUAUAUAAGAGUUAAAAUAGUAUAAAUAGGUUGUCCAUCAAUUUAUAAACAAGAUUGAAUUAGACCUUAUUGGUUAAGGCAGUGGUUAUGCCAUCCAAAGAUUAUAUAUAUAUAUAUAUAUAAUUGGAUUUGGGUAGC